rnacentral:lncRNA from 1 species
AUGUGUGGGCAGGCCCAGGGCCUUGCCCCGCUGUGGAGCCCUGGCUGCUGCUGCGCUGCCUUCAGUGCAGCUCAGUGGGGGCCUCCCAUCCUCCUGCUGCAGGCGGGAAGUGCAAAUCUCCGGGGCUGCAGAGACCUGGAGCUGAGGCUGAGGGGUCCCCCCGUGCUCAGCUGUGCUGGCGGCUGUUUCUGGCCUCGGGGCCACUUGGCACGGGCCACGCCACUUGGCCACCAGUGGUGCUGCUCUGCACUCCUUAGGCAGGAGCUGAUGUCCUGCUUGGAUGUUGGAUGUUGGCAACAGCAAAGUGCCAAGGCAGGCUCUGUGCCAGCCCAGUUUCUUGGGGGAGAGAUUGCACCAGAGACAGGAUUCUGGCCACAGACUGCUUUAAAUGUGCAUCCCUUAUCUCCACCCUGCACUAGGUGGAGAAUUCCCAGGGUAAGGAAUUCCCAAGAUGAAUUCCAUGGGAGAUUGAAUUGAAUAUCUGCCCUGGGUCUUGCUCUUCUUCUUGCCACUGCCAAUGGCAAAAGCUGUAUCCAUGGCAUCCUGGUUCCUAUCCCCAGCUUCCAAAGGUGUUUCUUUAGUUCCCCAUUCAUUCUUUGUACCCAGCCUGAGCUGUGGGGGUGCCAGGGGUUAUAGAGGUCCCAUCGUAUUCCUAAAGCUGACAUAACCCCCUGAAGUAUUUUUCCUGUAAAAUAAGUUCUACUGUCUGAUUCUAUUGCUUCCACAAUCCCUUCUCUUGGAAUUAUUUCUUUCAGAAAUAUCUUAGUAAGUGAUCCAGUGGUUGCUGAAGAAGCAAUAAUUGAUUUUGCCCCCUUUCAGCUGACAUGGUGUUACCAGAAGAUAUUGAAGCCUUCCUGCUCAGGGUAUUUCAGUGCCAGGCUCUUACGAGCACACACAGCUCUGUGGGUUUGUCCUGUGCUUUGUCUAAUUCCCCUUCCUUUCUGUGAAAAACACCAUUCACUUUUGUUAAAAUUUUAGAAGUUUAAUAAUAAUGAAAAUAGUCAUAAAAAUUAGGACAAUAAGAGACAGUAAAUGAAGUCUGGGUGCCUGGCACUCCACCAAAUAGCGCACCCUGCUUACAAAGGAUUACCCCUUAAAAGCAAUAGCCUAUUGCAUAUUCAUGUAUCUCAUACAUGAUUCAAGCAUCCCUUUCAAACCAGGGUGUUUCUGCUUAAUUUUAGCUUCUCCCCCAUCUUGUAAAUCGGCCUUCUUGGUUCCUCGAAGUCUGAGCUUUUCUGGAAAGGAGGCAAUGAUUCUUCUCUGGGGUUCUAGGUGUCUGUUGCUGUGAUCUCUAUCCAGAGAGGAUAAUGCAAAGAAUUUCUUGAUUAUCUUUUCCAUUCCUUGAGCUAGCUACAAAAAGUAUCUUAUGUCGUAUAGUUUCUAUUUUAAUAUUAUGCUAUAGGCUAAAAACUGUAUGUAGCACACUACGGAAAAGAGAUUAAUACAGCACUACCUAAAAGAGAUUAAUAUAGCACUACUUAAAAGAGAUUACUAGAGCAUAACUUUCCAACAUAACACAUAUAGUAAUAAUUUUAAUGUUUUCAAUGAGCCAAUCAUAUAAUAUGCAUUUUUCAUUCUUCUCUCCCUUAGAAUAGGGUGUUGCUUCUAGACAACACUUGUGCUGGUUGCUUCAAAGUACUUUGAAGAGGCUCCAUAUCUAAUUUUCCCCAUUUCCCUGAGGCUACCCACACUUCUGGGUUCACUUCAGCAUAGGCCUUGCCAGACAUAUGACACAAAGGUACAACAGAACUAGCCUCUGUAUCAGCUUUUGUAAUGUUAAUUUGCAUUCCCAGUUUAGUGAUCAAAUCCCUUCCCUGUAAACUAUAGUCACAAUUAGGAGCAAGUAAAAAUUCUUGCAUUUCAAACCCUUUCCCAUAUCUGCUAAGAGUGGUUGAAUAAAGCCACUCCUCUUUCCUACUUCUCCCCCG